GCCUCGGUAGCUCAGACUGGUAGAGCACCUGUCUCGUAAACAGGGGGUCGAGGGUUCAAAUCCCUCUCGAGGCU
rnacentral:tRNA from 3 species